UCAGGUGUGCGCGAGUCAGGCCACCACCUGCCAGUCAUCAUCAUCACUCUGCUCCACUUCAAAUACCUUGUUCCUGCUUCAACAAACAGCCAGAUUGUAGAUUCAGUUUCCUAUCACCCCACCUGGACGUGACUUCUAGCUCUGCUCCUGUUCACCUUGGAUCCUGAACACUCAUCCCUGGAUAGCUGGACUCCCUCUGCCUGAUAAUACUAUCUGCUUUCCUGCCUGGCUCCACUCACUCCUCUGGCUUACAGCUCUAACCCAGAACUCCCCUGAACCACAGACUCUGCCCCUCAUUCAAUAAAGUAUUGUGUUAAUAAAUCCUUCUUUGCACUAA